GAGAGCUGACAUUUAUACGGGCAGUUUGCGUGAGCUUGCUACCCCUGCCCGCAGUGAGUCCCUCUGCCUCUGAUUCUGGACUCUGCAAAUUUCUCACCUUCACAAAGCAAGCAAAGAAGCAUUUGAGCAUCCAUCCAUCCGCACUCCAUUAUUCGCCGCGAUUCCCUCUUUGGGGACUUGCCCUGUAGGUCUGAUGCUUUCGCUAUUUAGGCAUGCCUAGCGUUCCCUACACUCUUGUUGCGCAUGGCAUUGAUCAUCUCAAUCGUUCAUUCGUAUGGCCUGUGCUUCAGUGGACAUCAAUUGAGAAGUGCAAUAGCUUUUCAUGUUGAGAAAGGAUAUUGGAAUGCUGUGGGUGAAAACAUGAGGUUCCAUUAUGUUCUCUCGAUGCUACCAAAGUUGUGCUUAAGAACAAAGCACAAGUAUGCAGGUAAGUUGUUUGAAGAAGUAGACAAAUAUGGCGCUGCAAGCAUAUCGAAUCGGGCAAAGUUGCUAAAUAAGGUAGGGAAAUUGUAUGUAAAUAUUUUGUCUGUUUGAAGCUGAAGUUGUUCUAUUGUUAUAUUUACAGUUGGCAGUUUUAGUACUCAAUAAAAAUUAAAAAGUUGGCAAAAUUUUAGAUYUUAGAACCUGGAGAAGCCUGGAGUUAUUUCUUUCAAAUCCAUACUACAAUUAUCAUUCUUUAUUCCGUUGACUACUCCAAAAUUUCUUUCUAUUGCUAUUUGGAAUCUCAAAAUUCGGAAGAAGGUUAGUUCUAUCUACAAAAUCUUGCUCUUGGAAUUUGAGUGAAAAAUMUGAAUUGGAGUACCAUGCCUCAAAGAUGAUCGUGUGUGGCAGUGAUGGUGAAUCCUAAGAGCAUAUUUUCUUACUUUGCAAGAAAAGGGUGGGCUUACUUUUCUUUUUGUUUAAGGUUGCUUAGGUUUUUCCCUCAAGAGUCAGGUUUUCCUGCUUGAGUCUCUGGGGUCUAGUGUUUCGUGUUUCAUGUUUGUGGUGGUUAUAUGGACAGUUGGUAGAAAUAGGCAUACUUUUAUGAACAAUUUCAGAGAUACGAUGAAGCAGUGCAUUCGGUUGAAUUCUUAGCUUCUAGAUGGUUUAUUUUGCACUUGAAAUCCAUUUAGAAAUGGUUUCAACACUAAUGCAUCCUCUGUAAUACUGUAGUAUAAGAAAAUAGACAUUUAACUCUAGUAUCUUAAACGAUGAC